CCCACUUGAAAAGGUCAACAGCAACACAGAAAAAAGAUUUAAAAAACACUAAAUUUUCGCUUUGUUUGAUAAGGGAACACGACACACAUGCAGGUUGUAGUCAGGGAGAACGUUACAGUAACUCUAUCCUUCCACUGUGCUCCUGCCAGCUCUGUUUACUGACUCGCAGCCACCUGGGGACUACAAAAAAAAAAACCCUGGGACUGAAAAACUGCUUUGUCACCGUCUUCUUGUGUCAGUUCACUAACAGCUGCUAAGCAAAAACAAGGAGCCGAGCUUCAAGAUAAAUCCUGAAGGAAGGAUUAAACGAUGCUGUGACUGAUCAUCUCUGGAGUGCGGCAUGUUAUUAACUGGAUAACCUCCUGUUGUUGCUCCAAUGGGAGGGAGGAGACAGUUUCAAGCUGCCGGUGUCAAGGGCAGAAGGUGUGGACGGUCAACCGUGAUGAAAAACCCUCCCAUCAGACUCUUCCAUAACGUGUCCCACUGUAUCUACUGUUGCUAGGGCAUUCAUGUUUGCAUCUGCUUCACCUAAGCUCUGGGUUGUGCUGUACUUGUACUAAUGAUGACUUGUCUGAAAACUCCUGCUUCAGGAAGCUGGACAAUGUCUGACAGCUCACAAGUACACAGCACUCAGUCCACAGUAACAUCCUAACAUCCUGCCAUAUGUGGU